rnacentral:rRNA from 1 species
GAUGAACGCUGGCGGCGUGCCUAAUACAUGCAAGUCGAGCGAACGGACGAGAAGCUUGCUUCUCUGAUGUUAGCGGCGGACGGGUGAGUAACACGUGGAUAACCUACCUAUAAGACUGGGAUAACUUCGGGAAACCGGAGCUAAUACCGGAUAAUAUUUUGAACCGCAUGGUUCAAAAGUGAAAGACGGUCUUGCUGUCACUUAUAGAUGGAUCCGCGCUGCAUUAGCUAGUUGGUAAGGUAACGGCUUACCAAGGCAACGAUGCAUAGCCGACCUGAGAGGGUGCUCGGCCACACUGGAACUGAGCCACGGUCCAGACUCCUACGGGAGGCAGCAGUAGGGAAUCUUCCGCAAUGGGCGAAAGCCUGACGGCGCAACGCCGCGUGAGUGAUGAAGGUCUUCGGAUCGUAAAACUCUGUUAUUAGGGAAGAACAUAUGUGUAAGUAACUGUGCACAUCUUGACGGUACCUAAUCAGAAAGCCACGGCUAACUACGUG